rnacentral:lncRNA from 1 species
GUGCUGGCCUCUAUAAUGUCCACUUAAACUUAACAAAAGAAAUCAUCCACUUAUCUCCCACCCACUGGGCCCCUUGAGGGAGAGACAUCCUCCAUGUUUUCACAAGUUCACUUUCCCAGGCCCUGGCACAGCUACACCCUAGCCCCUUGCCCCGUCUCUCAUCUGCCUUCCCCUGCCUUUCCUGCUGCCUGACACUACCUCGGGCAGAGUCCUUCUUUUCUUCUGUUUAAAGAUGGCAGAUGAAUGUGCACGUGUCAACUUUUGCUCCCUCCCAAACCAAAAUCCCACUAAAACAACAGAUUUUUUUUUAAGGCAUAAACCCAUAGGAACAAGGAAACCAGGAACAACGGAAGAAAGCUUGUCGUACAUCAGCCUGCUUUCCACCGCCUGAGUUCUGUAUUUCGGGAACAGUGGCAUUGGGGACCUCUGGAACCUCUGGGGAGAUGGAUCCCAUGUCUCUGGGUCUGGUCAUGUCUCCAUGGAAAAUCACCGGGGUGGUGGAGCACGAAUGUGAUGCUUUCAGAAUCCUGGGCUCUUGAAGGUACCCCAGCGCCUUGUCUGAAGGAGGGGAAGAGCCUCAGCGGCCCCGUCACCCCGUAGCUUGGGGAGCUCUGUGUGGAGGUGGAUGAGUCCAGCUGUCCAGAGCUGGGGUCUCACAGACCUGGCUUUGACGCCCAGCUCUGCGCCUUGUUUGCCACGUUCCCAUGCCUAGUCACCCUGUUUUUACGGAUUUACCCAUUUUACGGAUGGGGAUAAUACUUAGCGCUCCUUCGUGGUGUUACUGUGAGGAUUAAAUGAAACGAUGAGCAGCACCUGGGCCGGAGGGAGCAGUCCAUGAAUGUUAACAUCCUUUUUUUCUUUCAGUUGAAUUGAGAUGUAAUGACGUACAGCACUGUGUAAGUUUAAGGUGUACAGCAUAAUAACUUGACUGACAUAUAUUGUGAAAUGAUUACCACAAUAAGUUUAGUUAAUGUCCAUCAUCUCACAUAAAUAGAAAAAGAAAAAGAAAAAAAUGUUUUUCCCUUGUGAUGAGAACUUUUAGAAUCUGGUCUCUUAGCAACGUUUGAAUAUACCAUACAACAGUGUUAACUGUAGUCAUCUUGCUGGACAUUUUAACAUCCUUAUUAUUAGAUUUAUUACUAUUUUUAGAAACAGAGCUCCAAAUUGGAGUUCGUGUGGGAUAAUGCGUGUUCU